AUUUUUUUUCCCAUCCUUCCUAAAAAUAUUUAUUAAGUGCCUAUUGGGCUCAGCUCCGGGUGGCCCGGGCACUUUCAAUUUAUAGAAUAAUCUAAAGACAGCAUUGAUCUGGUAUUUUUCUCUGCUGUUUUUCACAUAUUCUAGAACUAUCCUCAUGUGUACAUGUCUUCAGAGUUAAACAAUUGUCACAGUCUACUUACCUACAUGGAUCUAUGAAAUACCUUUUCACAGAAAAGAAAGAAGUGACUUUCCUUCCACUGAUUGCCAUAUGGGCCACUUCCUGAACCUGAAAGAGAUGCCGUACCCCGAACACCAGGUCCUCAGCUCUAGCAAAUACAGGAGGGACAAGUUUCAGCCUCCGGCUGUCAGGGAGCAGCAAAUACAGAGGUGGGACCAGACCAGGCUCAUGGGAGUUUGUUCAUCAUUUCAUAGCCAUAUUAUGACCCAGUGUGAGAGGGCUGGAGAGUAAUUUCCAAGCCCUUAGGAAGUAGAUAGUCUAAGCCAUUGUUUUUGGGUUUUACGUGCUCUUGUGGUCAAUUCCUUUUUCUUCCUUUUUUUGAAAGGCAAACAAAUAGCCUAACAGCAAUAACAGUCAACAGGAUGGUGGCACAUCCGGGUUCAGACUCCAGCCUCCUCUUGCUGUAGUCAAAGUUAAUUAAUUCCCACUAUGCUUUGAACUAGGUUCCCUGCAGGUCUGUGCUGGGCCCUGCCCUGGCUGUCAGGGGAGGGCAUGGCUGGUUUGGCUCUCCGUGUGCUGUCCUGCGCAGGGGGAUGGAGAAGGGGCUGACAACAGAGUCGACCUCUUUGAGGCAGAAGCAUUCUGGCGUUUUGCACAGAGGAAACAGAACCAAAGUUGCCCUCGGGCCAAGGGGCUGACUCCUUGACCACUGGGUCAGUAUACAAACAGGGGUGGCAUCUCCAUGGUUCUGUUAUCUCAGUCUCUGCGGUAAACACCAGGCCCCAUGAUGGCUGCUUUGCUGAGGCUGAUUCAAAGAAGCACAGUGUGGAAUCACGAGGAGAAGGCAGGCCCAUAAAUCUCUGCCUGAGCACACUGAGGGUUUCAGGAGCUUGAGCAGCUCUGGACUCCAGCUGGCUGUCCCCCUUGCCCUCCCUCGUGCAUUAGCAAGCACUUCUUCCAAGGUUGCCACCCUUGGAGGGUUUCUUGCCCCAACCUCACCAGAUCAGGAGCUGAGGAAUGAGAGAAAAAACAACCAUUUGAGGCUGCCCAGAUGACAGAAUGUCCCUAAAAACAUGUACCUCCUUGCACUCAAGUGAUUGGAGCCCCCACAGUCUGCAGUAUUAGAAAGUGUCAUUUCGAGGGCGUGGUGAGAGGACUGGCUCCCUCCAGGCCACUCAUGAGCGGAAGCUGUGAGAAACUAACCAAAGCUUGGAGUUAUGUCUCCAAUUGGCUGGGUGAGGUGGGAAGUUCAGCCUCAGAGAGGGCCCGUCGUUGAUACAGUUGAUGAGCAAGAUGAAUCAGCAAAGACUGAGACGUGCCCAUCACACUUGGCAAUUCCCUAUUGCUUCUCCUCUGGGGAGCAAACAGACUUCAGUGGCUUUUCUCCGAGGCCAAGUUUCUUACCCAAAUCUUUCCCUGGGGUCUUUGGUCUGAAAUUAGAAAGGAGUUAGGAGUCAGCAGGAAAAUCACUCUUCAUUGUGAAUUACACAGCAACUCUUCAUGGAACUGCCCGUCUCCUUCCUCUAGGUACACAUCGAUCAUCAUCAAUCAAUCCGAGAAUUUCUCAAAUAUCCACCACAGACUCAGAAAUGGGCAUUUAGGCACAUGGUUCAAGUUUCAGUUUCUUCCAGCAGAUGACAUGUGGGGACCAGCCAGCAAAGCCUACUUAGUGACCUCCAGCAAAAAGUCCACCAGUGAGCUGCGCAGGAUGAGAUCAAAGCUUUGUCUCGGCAGCCAGACCAGAGGAGAUCCUGGUUCUCACUAUGCUCAGAGUCACAUUAAACAAACAAUACCACAGUUUUCACUAAAACCCGUUGAAUUUUAAAUGUACUGUUGACUAAAUUAGGGAGUUAUCGUUCAGUUGAUCUGGUAAUCCAUUUGUCCACCAAACUUCAGAUUUACAAACAAUGGUUUUCUGGGAAAGCCUCUUGAAGCCUGGAUGGUAAAUGUUUACCUUAAAAAAGCAAAAACUGAAGAAGGCAAAAGUGGCCUGGUGAGUAAAACCAAAAGCCUGCAGCAGACGGUCACGUUGCUGGACUGUUUGUUUUGAAAAAUGUUCCCAUUCCGAGCCUUGACAUUGGGGAAAUUAGGAACAUGGUAACCGACUUCCUGUCUAGUAUUUCCCUGGAUUUCCUGGAAUCCAAUUUGAAGUGUCGUUUUCCCCUGAACCACCAAGGAGUUAAACUUUGGCUCUGUUCUCCCAGUGACUAAUAGGCACCGUGUGGCUCUGAGAUCAGCGAGAAAGAAACUGACAGUCGGCGUGGGAAGUGUGCGAGAUUUCAGUGCUCUUGAAAUGCCUUUGAUGGGCAUGGUGAGCGAGCACAAGGAUUAUUGCCACCUAGAGCCCCUGAUUGUGUAAUUUGAUCUUGAAUUCUUGUUUCUCUCUUUGAAUUUUGCUUGAUUUUAAAGGAGGAUCUCGGACUCCUUUGGGGGCUUGAUAUGACUGCAGUGUGUGAGUUAUUCCACGGAGAAUGAUAUUUUAGGCAACAAACUAAUUCCACCACUUUGAAAAAUAACCCACUUUGGUUGAAAACAAAGCAGAAUCAAGUGACCUGACCAAAUGGCACUUGACGUGUGUUAGGGAGACUUGUCUUCCCGCUCUUGCUGUUUUCUUUCUUGUGAAAGGAGCCCAAUUAGCAUAACACUCCUGGCUUCUCACCACCCUCCCCCACCCCCAUUCUUCCCUGGGAAGGAGGAGUGGUUUAAGAUGACUGAUGAGUUUGGAAGGAGAAACUAUGCCUCAUACCAUCUUCUCUUCCUUUCUUCUUGGGAGUCAACACUCCUCCCGCAGGGUGGAAAGGAGAGGCCCAUUCUGGCCCAGCUGCCUAUUGCUGAGUGUCCACGUAUGAUUUUGAGGCCAAGUGUCAGGAAGCUCAUUGGCCUGAGAAUGUAAGCCACAUUCUCUAAUAUCAGCCUUAUUAGUAAUAAAGGUUAUUUUCGGUCCUCAUCUAGCUUACUGCUAUCUUACUUCUGAUUCACUUCAAAACUCGCAGAAAAGGGGAGGCGACUGCUAUUUUGAGGUCUCCUCAAAGACCCCAACAUAUUUACCAGGCGGCUUCCUGGUGGUUAGAAAAAGCCUUGUGUUGGGAUGAAACCCUGGCUUCUAGAACCACAUCACUACUUUCUUAUAGAACAACAGGUUCUUUAGUUGUCAAAUGAGUAAAGGGGAGUUUAUAGAAGGUGUUCCUUCCAGCUGAAAUGUAUCCAUUCAAAACUUAUUUAUUGAAUGCCUACUAUGUGCCAGGGAGUACAACGGUGAUCAAGAGAGACAGUCUCUGCUGCCACACAGUUUAUAAUCUAACUAGGGUGCAUCAAUUAGAAAGUUUAAUGUUCCAAGUGAAAUGAAACCAUCUCAAACAGGCUGAAGCAAUAAGGAAAAUUUAUUGGCUCACUGGGGAUCCAGGCACGAUUUGAUCCAGGACUCAAACAACAGGGAUCCAUUUCUUGGCUCUGCUUCCUCUGGGUGGGAUUCAUUCUUUUGUCACCAUAUGAUGCAACCCCUCCUCUCUCCUGGCAGCUCCACACUUUCCACUAUGACUGCAGGAGAAAUAAGAUGUACUGUUUACCAGGCUGAGAAGAGUCCAAGUGCCAACAUUCCCUACAGACUCCUGAGGUCCACUCUGAUUAGACCAUUUCAGGGCACAGGCCUCCCCUAAAGCGAUGACCUAGCUCAGAGUGAUAGAUACACUGAUGGGCUCAAACCCAGUGGGGUCCAUCCCUGGAUGGAGGAAAGUUGGGCCCUCCCUACAUGGCUCAGAAAUUUAGAAAUCUAUUAGGAAGAGAGAGGGGGCAGCAACCAGUAACUGUCCACGAUAGAAAGACAAUAUAUAAAAUGAGAAUUUUGCUUUGAGGGAACAAUUCAGCCUGUAGAAAAUGCAGGUAUCCCCUAAUUCCCUGGUGAGUCUAGCACAGGCCUGGGAAUCCAGAGAAUUGGCUUCCAAAUCCUGUGCAGGGCCCCUAUACACAACAGGCCCUCAGGAAAGUUCUGGAGGUUGACAGACUUUGCUCCUUGAUCUCACCUCUCUGGAACUGCCCUUGGGUUGGAUUCUCCUGCUCUGUGAUCCCUUUUCUUUUUUUGGAAAGGAGGAUAACAUGUACCUGAGAGGGACACUAAAAGGAUAACUGAGGUGACAUCCACAAAGCAUCUGUCACUAAAUAAACCCAAGCUAUCUAUUGACCUGUGCUUGUGACUCUUUCAGAUUUAAGGACAUUUAGCCAGUGGUUUAGGGGCUAAACAUUAACCACAUUGGGGCAGAUCAGCACCACAGGAGCUAUGAGCCGUGAAGAUACACAGGCCUUUGGUGUUCUAAGUUCAAAAGAUCUGUGUGAAACAAGGUAUAACCCAAAUUAGUUGAAAAUGGACAGCAAUACAGUCAAACAUGCCAGAUACGGAGAGUGCUCCAGCUAAGUACCACAGCUAGUUCUCAAAAGGUAUGAGUAUUUGCCAAGCAACCCAGAAGUACCAGCGGGGCCUGAGCAAUCCUUUGCUUCUUCAUUCAACAAACAUUUAUUGGGUACCCCCUAUACAAGUAGCUACUGUAGGAACACAAUCAAUGAUGAGACUGACACAAAUCCUUUUCAGAAAAAAGAAGGAAUCUCCAUUUAUCAAUAGGUAAAUUAUUAUAAGAAACCAGAUUACUAUAUGCAAAGCUAAAAUGAAUUCAAGAUCUACUAUGAUACCAGAGACAGAAGGUAAAACUAGUUUCAUUUUGUGGAGGAAGUUGGAGAAGGAGUGGGCCAUGCCUACCAAAUGAAUCUUGCAUUAAGGCAUAGACAAAUGUAUAGGGUUAAGUUGAGAGAUUGCGAUCAACUACACAGUCUUUUUUGGUCUCCCAAAUAAAUGUGACUCAGUCCUCUGAACACCCUCCAGCAGCAGUUAUUUGCACCUUUCUUACUGUUCCUAUUCUGACUCAUAUCACAGUCAAUUAUUUAUUCAUUCAAUUAUUCGGUCAAUCACUCAUUGAACAUUUAGGGCAAGCUUGAUAUGCACCAAGAACUACGUCAAAGGCCAGGAUACAAAACACAGUGAAACAUGGUCCCUAUGUUCUAGGACUUCCGUCUAGGUGGGGAAAGAGACAUAUAAAAAGUAAUUAUACUAUAAUAUGGGAGGUACUAUCAUAGAAGCAUGUACUAGGUGCUUGGAGGCGAAGGUUUCACAAAAGAGGUGACAUCUGAGUGGAUCUUGAAGAGAACAGGAGUUUUCUAGGCUGAAAUUCCAGAGUAUCUGAAAAGUCCCCAAAAGAGGAGUCAGCACAGUAUGCUGAGGAAAUGGUAAGGAGUUUGGUAUGUGGUAUGUAGGGAGAGUGUCAGAAGAGGAGGUUGAAAAGGUAAGUGGGAUAAAAGGUAAGUCACACAGAGCUUCGUACAUAGGUCUUGCUAUGGACUUUGGACUUUAUUUUAUAGACAAAGGGGAUUUGUUGAAGGACUUUAAGUAAAGGAGGGACAGUAUUAAGUUUGGGCUUUAGAAAGAUAUUCUGGUAGCAGUCUGAAGGAAGAAUUAUUGUGGGGAGGGAUUGGAGGCAAAGAAAUUAACAAGAAGAUUAUUUCAAUAAUCUAGGUGAGAAGUCAUAAGGUCUUAAUAGUUGAAAAAGGGAACAGAAUAUGUUUAAGGAAGAAUUGAGAGAUGGAAUCAAAAGACGAUGAUUGAUGGGAGAAGAAGUUAAAAAUGACUUAGAAAUCACUAGCCUGCACAGCUGAGGAAAUGAGGGUUCCAUUAACUGCAGAAGGUAAUAGAAGAGCAGGUUUGGGAGGAAAGAUAAUGACGUUGCGUUUAAGAUGCUUUCAUGACAUUUAGGUAGGCAGGCAGGCCCCAUCGGCUGUUAGGAACAUCUGUCUAGAGUUGAUGAGAGAGAUGGAGGGUAGAGAUUGACCAGGGGAUAGGUAGGUGCUGAGGCCAUGGAAUUCAACGGGACUAGCAUUAAAGGGCAAAGCUUUUGACAGCAGGAGUUUGAUAAUCCCCAGAGCCCCUGGCACAAUACUUUGCAUAAAGCAGACAGUAUCCAUGUAAACACCUACAGAUACACAUAUAGAUACACCGAUUUGGAGAUUACUAAUAAGAGCUAGAUGCCCCGAGAUCUCAAAUUUGGAGCCAUUGCAAUUUUAAAGACUUAUUUUAGGGUCAAAUUGGCAAUAAGAAGAGUACAACUAGUAUACUAAUAUUCAGCGAUUCUAGCCUUCUGUUAAAUUCUGUAAAAACUACUGGUUUCACCUUGUGUAUUUCUUUGCAUUUGGUCUUCCACAGCAGAAACUAUAAAAUGAGGAAGCUAGGGAAAUACAGUUUAUCAGAAUAGGGGAGUUCAGUCACAUUUGCUGGAACACAGAAAUUGGUGUCAAUGUGUUUGACCCUUAGAGAAGUCAUUUUGAGGCAACUUCAUGGUGUUUGGGGAACUAAGCAAUGUCGUCUUCAAAUGUUAUACAAUGCUACUUUUUUUUCGCAUUUGCUCAUUCUUUCACAAAGCAUUGUUUGAGCACUUGGUGUGUUCCAGACAUUGUGCUGGGGACAAAAGACAUCUUCUCAUCCCUCAAAGAGCUCAUGGUCCAGUAGGGAACAUAGACAAGAGAAUAUAAUGAAAAUACACUAUGAAGUGCUGUGAUAGAAGUAAGCACUGUGUGCAACUGAAGACGGAGAAGGACAACCCAACAUAGGGGGGAGGGAAUGAGGGCAGCAACAUGGUUAGAGAGGUCUUUCCGGAAGAGACAAUGCCUGAGCCAGGUGAUACAAGGAGCGGAUGAGCUUUCAGAUCAAGGGAGAACAACUGUAAAAGCAAGGAAGAACAGAGUUUGUCAUGGCUAAACAUGGAGCGGAAUGGCAAGAGAUGAGCUGGGGAAGAUGGACAGGGAUCUCAUCAGCCUCCUUUAAGCCCUUCUAUGGAGUCUGAACUUUUAGCCUGAAAGCAGUGGAGAGCCAUUGAAGGAUUCUUAUAGAGGACUUCAAAGAAAGCCUUUUGCUUUUUUUUUUUUUUCCUCAUUUUCUAUCCUCCCUCUGUCUCUCUCUGUCACUCUGUCUCUGUUUUGACGGAUUGCCUUCCCUCCCUCCUUCCUUCCUGUAAGCGUGAUUUCAGAAAUUGCAGAGGAUCUGGCCUAUACCUAAAGAGCAGGGGAUUUAUUUAUGGUUUGGCCAUGCUUGGGCUGGAGAAAAAGAAGGCGUUGAAGAUCCCUGAGACCUGGCUUCUGAUGGCAGUAAGAAGCAAAGUGAGAGGAUCCCAGAAAUAAUUCACAUCACCCAGAGAUGCUCCUUCCACUCAAACCUGGGGACACCUGUGUUCAGUUUUAAGGAGGGGACUGUUAUCUCUAAGGUGUGGACAGGAAUCCUAACUGAAGAGAAGUCUACACUCUUGCUACUUAAAAUGGAGUCCCUGGACCAGCAAAAUCAGCAUUACCUGGAAGCUGGUUAGACAAACAGGAUUUCAGGCCCCAUCCUCAACCUACUGAAUCAGAAUCUGCAUUUUUUUUUUUUUUUUUUUUUGAGGAAGAUUAGCCCUGAGCUAACAUCUGCUGCCAAUCCUCCUCUUUUUGCUGAGGAAGACUGGCCUUGAGCUCACAUCUCAUCGUCCUCUACUUUAUAUGUGGGACGCCUGCCACAGCAUGGCUUGCCAAGCAGUGCCAUGUCCACACCCAGGAUUCGAACUGGCAAACCCCGGGCCGCUGAAGCAGAACAUGCAAACUUAACUGCUGCGCUACCAGGCCAGCCCUAAAAUCUGCAUUUUUAACAAGAUGCCUGAGUGAUUCCCAUGCAUAUCCAAAUUUAAAAAGCCCUGAUCUACAAGAUAGGAAAACUACUUAGCUGGUAAAUCUUAUGUCACAUGUUGCAAUUUAUGUUUUUUUUUUAAGAUUUUAUUUUUUCCUUUUUCUCCCAAAGCCCCCCCGUACAUAGUUGUGUAUUUUUUUUUUCACUGUGGGUCCUUCUAGCUGUGGCAUGUGGGAUGCUGCCUCAGCAUGGCCAGACAAGCGGUGACGUGUCGGUGCCUAGGAUUCGAACUGGCAAAACCCUGGGCUGCCGAAGCAGAGCACGUGAGCUCAACCACUCGGCCAUGAGGCCGGCUCCGAAAUCUAUGUUGUUUUGCAUGGCUGAUUGAUAUGUAAUUAGUUUGCCACCCAUAUGAUUAUGAAUUUAUGUCCAAAAGUAAACUCAACUAGGGGUUAAACCAUUUGUACUCUACUGAACAUUUCCAAGAAACCUCUUUGGAGCCAAUGAUUUUGAGAUCCUUUUAAAUAAAGAGCUUGCUCUCUGGCUGAUGGAUGAAAGAUUCUUUUUUUUUUCCCCCUAUUGUAGCAAAAUAUGCAUAACAUAAAUUUACCAUUUUCACCGUUUUUAAGUGUACAGUUCAGUACAUUCACACUGUUGUGCAACCAUCGCCAACAUCCAUCUUCAGAACUUUUUCAUCUUCUCAAACUGAAACUCUAUAUCCACAGUAAACAGUAACUCGCAUUGCCCUCUCCUCCCAGCCCCUGGCAGCCACCACUCUACUUUCUGUCUCUAGGAACUUGACUACUCUGGGUACUUCAUAUAAGUGAAAUCAUACGUUAUUUGUCCUUUUUGUGCCUGGCUUAUUUCACUUAGCACAGAGUCUUCGACGUUCAUCCAUGUUGUAGCAUGUAUCAGAAUUUCCUUCCUUUUUAAGGCCAAAUAAUAUUCCUUUGUAUGUAUCUACCACAUUUUGUUUACCAUUCAUCCAUCAAUGGACACUUGGGUCGCUUCUAUGUUU
ensembl:lncRNA